UACGGAGGGUGCGAGCGUUGUCCGGAAUCAUUGGGGCGUAAAGGGCGCGUAGGUGGCCUGCUAAGCGUGCGGUGAAAGCUCGGGGCUCAACCCCGAGUCGGCCGUGCGAACUGGUGGGCUUGAGCACUGUAGAGGCAGGCGGAAUUCCGGGUGUAGCGGUGGAAUGCGUAGAGAUCCGGAAGAACACCGGGUGGCGAAGCGGCCUGCUGGGCAGUAGCUGACACUGAGGCGCGACAGCGUGGGGAGCAAACAGG
rnacentral:rRNA from 1 species